UUCUUGAAGCCUCUCA
rnacentral:sRNA from 1 species